GAGAAAGCAAAUGCGAUUCCCUGAGUAGCGGCGAGCGAAACGGGAACAGCCCAAACCAAGAGGCUUGCCUCUUGGGGUUGUAGGACACUCUGUACGGAGUUACAAAGGAACGAGGUAGAUGAAGAGGUCUGGAAAGGCCCGCCAUAGGAGGUAAGAGCCCUGUAGUCAAAACUUCGUUCUCUCCUGAGUGGAUCCUGAGUACGGCGGAACACGUGAAAUUCCGUCGGAAUCCGG
rnacentral:rRNA from 1 species